rnacentral:tRNA from 1 species
GCGGGAGUUGCCAAGCAUGGCCAAAGGCGUGAGGCUCAGAUCCAUGUGGCGGGGAUACCUCAUCCCUAAGGGGUCCGUGGGUUCAAAUCCCACCUCCCGCA